AAUGAGAUUAAGCUGUAGAGUGCUGUGAUUUAUAGGAUGGGCUGGAAUAUGAAGUUACGAAAGUUACACUCAAGGUUGUGGUCACUGAAACUUGGGGGAUGGCCGAGAUGAAGAAAAAAAGCUUUGAGAGAGAACGGAGGGGUGUGUGCAGGACUUUUGGGAUUGUCCUAAUCCAUGGCACAGGAGGAGAAUAAGGAUCCAACAAGAAAAACAGGAGCCAUAUGAGAAGAGAUCAGGAAAUUGAAUUGUCACAACUUCCACUGUGAUAAUUAGAUAUCAGAAUGAAUCAUUGUACCAGGCAGAUCAACCCUUUGAGUCUGGCUUAGCUCAGGCAGAAAUUGUAGUCUGCAAAAGAAACUGAGAAGAAGAGGGCAAGGAGAGUGUGGCAUCCCAAGACAUAAAGACUCAAAUCAAUGAGAGCAAGCAACUCUGUCAAAUUUCACCAGAAGUGAGGACUAAAUAUUGACUACCGAAUUUUGCAAGAAAGAUGAAGCAUUGGAAAGCACUGCAUAGCUCCAUGUUAUCAAUCAAUUAAUGUCUUCAGUCCUUUAAUGUCCUCUGGACAGCUGGGAUGCUUGGGAGAAGACUGUUGACAAGUCUUGUACGUGUGGAAGACACCAUUUUACUUACUUUCCCUUUAUUAUGGAAGGAACACAAGCCUAUCUUACAAAAAGAUACAUAGGACCCCGGAAGAACGAUUUUUAUUCUGAAUCUCAAUAAAAUAUUCUGUCACUUUG
rnacentral:lncRNA from 1 species